GCUCCCAUGGUCUAGUUGGUAAUGAUGUCUGCCUAACACGCAGAAGGUCCCCAGUUCGAACCUGGGUGGGAGCA